UCAAACAGUUAAUCUAAGAUAGAUUUCUAACCAUUUCUAUGCAACUGUAAUUCUCUGCAAACAGUCCCAAGCAUUAUACAAAGUUUUACAUGGCUAUAUGGCUGAUGGCCCUGGUCUGGCGGCAGGGCAGUGCCCGUAAAUUCUAAAUUGCUGGACGGGGGGCAUGUCAAGUAAUUGUGCUGUAAGCCUGUAACUUUAAUUUACUUUACAUUGAUUGAAUUGUUCACAAUUGACAGUUCAAUUUUUUAAAUAAAUGCCAGCGCCAAAUGCCAAUUCUCGUAGAGUAUGUUACGCAGCAAGAGAUAGAUACUAUGAAUGUAGAGAUAAAAAUCUCGAAAACACAGAAGUUUGUGAAGAGUUGAGAAAAAUAUUUGAGAAAUCCUGCCUUCCAUCUUGGGUAAAGCAUUUUGAUCAGAAAAGAAUUUACCAAGAAUACAAAAAGAAGUUGUACACGGAAGGUUUUAAACCAUCAAAUGAAGACUGAAGACAUCUGUCAAGGAAAACAUAUUUCUUUAGUCCAGCUUUGCAUUAAUCCAAAACUUGCUUUCUACUACAAAAUAGAUUAAAGAUAAUGGCACACAAAUGCUUGGUGAAACCUCCAGUAAAUGAAUGUUUCUGACAGGAACUUUUGAAUCCAAAGUCCAUGUAAUGACAAAAAUGCUUACAAUGUACAAUAAAUAUAAUUUUUACAAUAAAAAAUGAGCAAAACGCUUUAAAA